ensembl:snRNA U2 U2 spliceosomal RNA
AGAUCUUAGCCAAAAGGCCAAGAAGCAAGAAUAGUAGCUAUUCCUAUCAGUUUAAUUUCUGACACAUCCUCUAUCUAAGGACAAUAUAUUAAAUGGAUUUUUGGAACUAGGAGAUGGAAUAGAACUUUGCUCCAUCCACUCCAUGCACUGACCCAGGUAUUACUGUACUUCCAGGAAUAGUGCACCCCCU